rnacentral:lncRNA from 1 species
AGAGCCAAGCUGCGCAGUCAAACACGGGUUGGGGCGGCAGCUGAAGACGCCAACUUAAAAGCGCGUAGCCAGAACCCAGGCAGCAGGGAGCUCCAGGACCUGCAGGAUGGGGGCAGGCUGUGUCAAAGUCACCAAGUACUUCCUCUUCCUCUUCAAUCUGCUGUUCUUUAUCCUGGGUGCUGUGAUCCUGGGCUUUGGGGUGUGGAUUCUUGCAGACAAGAGCAGCUUCAUUUCUGUCCUACAAACCUCAUCCAGCUCGCUGCAGGUGGGGGCAUACGUCUUCAUUGGUGUGGGCGCCAUCACCAUGCUGAUGGGCUUCCUGGGCUGUAUUGGUGCUGUCAAUGAGGUCCGCUGCCUGCUGGGUCUGUACUUCGUCUUCCUUCUGCUGAUU